rnacentral:rRNA from 1 species
GACGAACGCUGGCGGCGUGCUUAACACAUGCAAGUCGAACGGAAAGGCCCUCCUUUUCUGGGGUACUCGAGUGGCGAACGGGUGAGUAACACGUGAGUAACCUGCCCUUUACUUCGGGAUAACUGCAGGAAACUGGGGCUAAUACCGGAUAGGACCUCCUGGUGCAUAGUGUGGUGUGUAGAGUUUCGGCGGUUGGGGAUGGACUCGGGGCUUAGCAGUUUGGUUGUGGGGUUGUGGCUUACCAAGGCGUCGACGGGUAGGCGGCCUGAGAGGGUGACCGGCCACAUUGGGACUGAGACACGGCCCAGAAUCAUACGGGAGGCAGCAGUGGGGAAUAGUGCACAAUGGGAGGAAGCCUGAUGCAGCAACGCCGCGUGCGGGAUGACGGCCUUCGGGUUGUAGACCGCUUUCGCCAGUGACGAAGGGUGAGUGACGGUAGUGGGAGAAGAAGCACCGGCUAACUACGUG